AGAUGCGAUCAUACCAGCACUAAAGCACCGGAUCCCAUCAGAACUCCGAAGUUAUGCGUGCUUGGGCGAGAGUAGUACUAGGAUGGGUGACCUCCUGGGAAGUCCUCGUGUUGCAUNNN
rnacentral:rRNA from 1 species